CACGUAGGGCGCAAGCGUUGUCCGGAAUUAUUGGGCGUAAAGAGCUCGUAGGCGGCUUGUUGCGUCGGCUGUGAAAACCCGUGGCUUAACUGCGGGCUUGCAGCCGAUACGGGCGAGCUGGAGUUCGGUAGGGGAGACUGGAAUUCCUGGUGUAGCGGUGAAAUGCGCAGAUAUCAGGAGGAACACCGGUGGCGAAGGCGGGUCUCUGGGCCGAUACUGACGCUGAGGCGCGAAAGCUAGGGGAGCAAACGGG
rnacentral:rRNA from 1 species